rfam:Myotis davidii contig181089, whole genome shotgun sequence.
GGUGGUUCUCAGGUGACGCACCCUGGAAUCGGGCUCCCUCCUCUCUGGUUCUGGGUGUGUCACCCGAGAACCACA